GUCGAAGCUCUUUGCUCCAUUGAGAACAACGGCUUGUGUACAAAUUGCGAUGUGGUUUUCCAAAUAAGCUGUGCAUUUAAGACGAGCUAGUGCCGUUCAUUUACAAAGCGCAGAAAAUAAUGUUUCCGCCAACACGUGGCUACAAUCAAAAUACAAACAUAUGUAUGUGAUAAGAAGAAAUGAUGCCCGACGCUUCAAUUCCAAUACGCAUCACAUACACAAAGAUGGAAAUCGGAAUGGCUACACUGCAAGCAACGGGAGAACAAUACACACUCCCUUCAGCGGACAUCACAGCGUAACUUUGUUACUUUUGGUCGAUGUUAUUCAAAAACAUUCACAAAAAUUGUUCGAGAUAUGAAUGACAUUAUGUCAAAAUUGGAUUAAAUUCUCAUUAGCUCUUCCCACCAAAAAUAAUUGCCAAAAAAUGUGUCUCAAACGGCAUCGUAAUGUGGUUUUGGCUCCUUAAGAAGUUGCGUGCAAGGUGGUGUAACGCCUAUUUUCGACCUACUUUGCUUCUGUAUCGGAUAAUUCUAUGUCAGUUUGUAGUGUUGCUUACGUAGAGUGAUAUAUGUAUCAUGGAAAUUCUUUGACUUUGUAUACAACAUUCAGGUAUGUCAAACUUUUGAACGAUGUUGUUUAGACUGUGCUUGUGAAUUGUGGAAUGAUUGUUAUACGCGAUGAUUCACAAAGGUAAGGAAAUAUUUUAAUAUUUUACUCUACAUGUGAAAAUAUAAAAAAAUGUUUAUACAAGCAGCGCAAAUAUUCAGUUACGGAGUUAAGGCUAAUAAAAGAUUUUUCCUGAAAUUUAGUAACUUCGCUAAUAUGAGGCCAUCGCAAAACUUCACGAGGUUAAAGUAUAGCACGAUUUUUAUUUAUUUUGUUGUUACUGGUCUGGUGAAUCUAAUUAAACAUGCCCCACACGUGUAUCUGCAGUAGUUUUCCAGAACAUCCAGACAAGCAAAGAUUAUUACAGAAGUAAAUUUGUUUACUUUCCAUUAAGAAUAUAGCAACGUUUAUUUUAUUGUUGCUAACCGUUACUGAGUUGUUUCACUCGUUUCCCAACCGUGAAACGAGUUAGUUUUCUCUGUAGUACAGUGAAAGAUCACAAUAACUACAAUGUAUUUAAGUAAAACCACAUAGUAACUGUUGUAGCUUCUAAAUUAUUAAUGAAAAUUUACUACAGAGGAAUACGUGGAUAUCGUGUUUUAUACACGUGCAGCUAAGUGCACUGAAUCCGGUGCAGGCAUUUUUGUACAUUUAUUGUGAGUGUAUUGUGAAAUUGUAUGUACACUGUAGCAACUUCCUUAACACUGAGCUUUGUUUUUUCCGGUGCUAAGGUAUUAAUAACAGCAGAUUAUCUGCUGCAUUCGCACAGUUUCAGGUAACAUUCUUACCAUCAUUUUUCCAAAGUUAAAUUCUCUGUAGCUUCUGUUGAGUGUGCAAUUGUCUGCAAUUUAGAAAACAAAUUGGGCCAAGUAGUUAAUAAACUUAAGAUAUCACGAAAUUACUUAUUUGCUGAUCUGGAUGUUCUUGAAAACUGGAACAUGUUUUAUUACAUUCGCCCGAUCAAUAACAACAAAAUAAAUGGAAAUCGUGCUUUACUUUAACCUCGUACAGUUUUUCGACGGCGUGAUACUAACGAAGCUGCUAAAUUUCAGGCAAAAUCUUAUUAGCUGUAUCUCCCUAACUGAACAUUUUCGGACCUAUGUUUAAGUCAGCCUUUUUCUUUAGUUUUACAUGUAGAAUAACAUAUUAAAAUAUUUGCAUAUCUUCAUGAAUCACCAUGUACAAUGUGCUGUAUGUAAAUGGGUUGGACCACAAUUAGGGAACGGAGGGUAGGUGGCUCAUAGUCUUGCAGUUUUGAGGCCAUAAGAGCUUAAGGGCAGUGUUUAUGGGCCUGGGAUGCUGCAUUUGGUAACUGUAUUAUCAUGGCAUGCGUUUUUGGCCCUACAAAAAUAUAAUUCCACCUCCAAGGAGAUCUGUAACAGGGCGAGGCCAAUAAUACUGCCAUGACCGCAUUGCCGCCAUGUUAACAGUCAUUACAAAUUACGCCACUACACUUCCACUAAAUUGUUUAUAUUAUGGACCAGGUAUUUGUGAAUUUUGGUUGAUUUUAAUAAUAUUCUUGGUGUUGCUAAAA